UGAGCGAGGGGUUGAUAACGCCUUGCUGGGGGAAGAGGAGACUGAGCCAGCGUUGGAGAGAUCGUGGUCACUAAGGUCAAGAACAGCCAGGAGAGGUGAAAGAACAAGAGCUCCUAAGAUACAGGCAAAGGGGUGGGCCUUGCGUUUCCCCAGCUAACAGACGAGAAGACUGAGAUGACAAGCUGGCUGUAGGAUCAUAAUUCCUCAACCAGGGAUUGAACCCACGCUGCCUGCACUGAGAGCAUGGAGUCUUAAGCACUGGACUGCCAGGGAGUUCCCCACGUUACGUGUUUAACGGGACCACCCUGGCUGCGGGGUGGAGAAGAGAUUGUUGUUAUGCAGUCACUAAGUCAUGUCUGACUCUUUGCGAACCCCAUGGACUGCGGCCCGCCAGGCUCCUCUGUCCAUGGGAUUUCCCAGGCAAAAAUACUGGAGUGGGUAGCCAUUCCCAUCUCCAGGGGAUCUUUCCAACCCAGGGAUCGAACCUGCAUCUCCUGCAUUGCAGGCAGAUUCUUGACCACUGAGCUACCAGGGAAGCCUGAAGAACAGGUUGUUCAGAGGCAAAGUGGGAUCCGGGAGACCGAAGCGGAGGGAGGGAGAAGGGCUUGGACCAACAUCGGAGUAACAGAGAUGGUGACUCGGGUUUGAGGUUCUAGUACAUUCUGAAGGUGCAGACACCAGGAUUUGCCAGGCAUUGGACUGUGGGGUGUGAGAGAUUUUGGAUUAUUCCGAAGGUGUGGGCCCACGCAGCUGGAACACAUGGUUCCAGCUUGGAUUGUGGAUGGAGUCUGUUUGAGAUGUACAUCAGGCAUCCACGUGGAGGUGUCGAGGAGGGAGCUGGUAUCCAGGGAUGGAGUCCGGAAGAGAGGUCAGAGCAGGGGUAAACUCCGGGGAAGAACUGCCUGCCAGCCCUCUCCCAUCAGGGACUGAGGUCCUUGCUUAUGUGCCCCGCACGCCCGAACCUCCCCAUCACAGCACCCAUCACAGGAGAUCAUGGGCACUUGUCUGCCUUCCCCACCCAACUGCGUGAGAGAAACGGUUUUGUGUCUCUUGUUUACCAGUUGCCAGGGCCUGGAGGCCCAGAAGGUCCCAGACAAGCACGCGUCCCCUGCUCAGCGCCGACCCC